CAGUCGCCGCGGUAAAACGAGGGGGGCAAGCGUUGUUCGGAAUUAUUGGGCGUAAAGGGUGCGUAGGCGGCUUGACAAGUCUUGUGUGAAAUCUAUGGGCUCAACCCAUAGUCUGCACGGGAAACUGUCGGGCUUGAGAAUGGGAGAGGUGAGUGGAAUUUCCGGUGUAGCGGUGAAAUGCGUAGAUAUCGGAAGGAACACCUGUGGCGAAAGCGGCUCACUGGACCAUUUCUGACGCUGAUGCACGAAAGCUAGGGGAGCAAACAGGAUUAGAUACCCCAGUAGUCCCUGUCUCUUAUAC
rnacentral:rRNA from 1 species